rnacentral:rRNA from 1 species
GACGAACGCUGGCGGCGUGCUUAACACAUGCAAGUCGAACGGAAAGGACCUGCUUUUGUGGGGUGCUCGAGUGGCGAACGGGGGAGUAACACGUGAGUAACCUGCCCUUGACUGUGGGAUAACUUCAGGAAACUGGGGCUAAUACCGGAUAGGAGCUCCUGCUGCAUGGUGGGGGUUGGAAAGUUUCGGCGGUUGGGGAUGGACUCGCGGCUUAUCAGCUUGUUGGUGGGGUAGUGGCUGACCAAGGCUUUGACGGGUAGCCGGCCUGAGAGGGUGACCGGCCACAUUGGGACUGAGAUACGGCCCAGACUCCUACGGGAGGCAGCAGUGGGGAAUAUUGCACAAUGGGCGGAAGCCUGAUGCAGCAACGCCGCGUGCGGGAUGACGGCCUUCGGGUUGUAAACCGCUUUCGCCUGUGACGAAGCGUGAGUGACGGUAAUGGGUAAAGAAGCACCGGCUAACUACGUG